UCCUUCGCAUGGGGCGAAAAACCUUGGGAAAAAGAUUGUGAAGGUUACCCAAGAACAGAAAACAAACAGACCUCUACUCGAAUGGUCCCGUGAUGUAGUUAAUCAUUUUUGGCAUUGUGCUGAUAUAUCUAAAACUACGGAAGAGUUUGUGGGAAUAUGGUAUGGGAUCUUGCACCAUACUGUUAAUGAGCAUCAGUGGAUGAUUUCUUAUGGUGACAAUGUACCAAAUGAAUGACAACAUGGACCACUGUCAUCUGAACGUGACAAGGGAUGGCUCAAGGGUGCGACUCCUCCUCAUGACGCAUUGAUAAAGAUAGUGAUGGACAAACGCUUAUUUCGGAAAAUACCCUACUAUCUCCAUUGCAGGUGAACAGCCGAAUUGGAGAACUUCCAUAACGUCAUAUUGAAAUAUGCCUCUAAGCGCCACUCUUAUGGUCCACUAACAUACAAUGCCAGAAAUGAGUUAGCAGCAAUUGACCAUAAUGCACACUGCGAAAGGGAAGUUGUGGUGAAUAAAGAUGGGAG